AGUGAACGCUGGCGGUAGGCCUAACACAUGCAAGUCGAACGGCAGCACAGUAAGAGCUUGCUCUUACGGGUGGCGAGUGGCGGACGGGUGAGGAAUACAUCGGAAUCUACUUUUUCGUGGGGGAUAACGUAGGGAAACUUACGCUAAUGCCGCAUACGACCUACGGGUGAAAGCAGGGGAUCUUCGGACCUUGCGCGAUUGAAUGAGCCGAUGUCGGAUUAGCUAGUUGGCGGGGUAAAGGCCCACCAAGGCGACGAUCCGUAGCUGGUCUGAGAGGAUGAUCAGCCACACUGGAACUGAGACACGGUCCAGACUCCUACGGGAGGCAGCAGUGGGGAAUAUUGGACAAUGGGCGCAAGCCUGUUCCAGCCAUACCGCGUGGGUGAAGAAGGCCUUCGGGUUGUAAAGCCCUUUUGUUGGGAAAGAAAAGCAGCAGGUUAAUACCCCGCUGUUCUGACGGUACCCAAAGAAUAAGCACCGGCUAACUUCGUG
rnacentral:rRNA from 1 species